rnacentral:rRNA from 1 species
AGUGAACGCUGGCGGUAGGCCUAACACAUGCAAGUCGAACGGCAGCACAGGAGAGCUUGCUCUCUGGGUGGCGAGUGGCGGCCGGGUGAGGAAUACAUCGGAAUCUGCCCAGUCGUGGGGGAUAACGUAGGGAAACUUACGCUAAUACCGCAUACGACCUUCGGGUGAAAGAGGGGGAUCGCAAGACCUCUCGCGAUUGGAUGAGCCGAUGUCGGAUUAGCUAGUUGGCGGGGUAAUGGCCCACCAAGGCGACGAUCCGUAGCUGGUCUGAGAGGAUGAUCAGCCACACUGGAACUGAGACACGGUCCAGACUCCUACGGGAGGCAGCAGUGGGGAAUAUUGGACAAUAGGCGCAAGCCUGAUCCAGCCAUACCGCGUGGGUGAAGAAGGCCUUCGGGUUGUAAAGCCCUUUUGUUGGGAAAGAAAUCUUUCAGGCUAAUACCCUGGGAGGAUGACGGUACCCAAAGAAUAAGCACCGGCUAACUUCGUG